AUUGAACGCUGGCGGAAUGCUUUACACAUGCAAGUCGAACGGCAGCACGGGUGCUUGCACCUGGUGGCGAGUGGCGAACGGGUGAGUAAUGCACCGGAACGUAUCCAAUAAUGGGGGAUAACGCACCGAAAGGUGUGCUAAUACCGCAUACGCCCUGAGGGGGAAAGCGGGGGAUCGUAAGACCUCGCGUUAAUGGAGCGGCCGAUGCCGGAUUAGCUAGUUGGUGAGGUAAAGGCUCACCAAGGCGACGAUCCGUAGCUGGUCUGAGAGGACGAUCCGCCACACUGGAACUGAAACACGGUCCAGACUCCUACGGGAGGCAGCAGUGGGGAAUUUUGGACAAUGGGCGCAAGCCUGAUCCAGCCAUGCCGCGUGAGUGAAGAAGGCCU
rnacentral:rRNA from 1 species